GGGGUGAUGGCCUACCAAGGCGACGACGGGUAGCCGGCCUGAGAGGGUGACCGGCCACACUGGGACUGAGACACGGCCCAGACUCCUACGGGAGGCAGCAGUGGGGAAUAUUGCACAAUGGGCGCAAGCCUGAUGCAGCGACGCCGCGUGGGGGAUGACGGCCUUCGGGUUGUAAACCCCUUUCACCCGGGACGAAGCGUAAGUGACGGUACCGGGAGAAGAAGCACCGGCCAACUACGUGCCAGCAGCCGCGGUAAUACGUAGGGUGCAAGCGUUGUCCGGAAUUAUUGGGCGUAAAGAGCUCGUAGGCGGUGUGUCACGUCUGCCGUGAAAACCUGCGGCUUAACCGUGGGCGUGCGGUGGAUACCGGCAUCACUUGAGUUCGGUAGGGGAGACUGGAAUUCCUGGUGUAGCGGUGGAAUGCGCAGAUAUCAGGAGGAACACCGGUGGCGAAGGCGGGUCUCUGGGCCGAUACUGACGCUUAGGAGCGAAAGCGUGGGGAGCGAACAGGAUUAGAUACCCUGGUAGUCCACGCCGUAAACGUUGGGCGCUAGGUUGGGGUGCUUUCACGUGUACCCGUGCCGUAGCUAACGCUU
rnacentral:rRNA from 1 species